UUUUUUAACAGCUGCGGUAUUUUAACUGUACUAAGGUAGCAUAAUAAUUUGCCUUAUAAUUUGAGGCUAGAAUGAAUGGUUUGACGAAGGUUAAUCUGUCUCUAUUUUAUUUUUUAGAAUUUAAUUUUUAUUGUGAAAAAGCAUAAAUUUUUCAAAGGGACGAGAAGACCCUAAUGAGCUUAUAAUUAUAUUAUCAUAAUAAUGUUUAUUAUUUAUUAUUUUAUAUAAAUUUUAAUUGGGGUGAUUAAGGAAUAAGAUAUUAUGUAGUAACUUCCUUGAUAUAAUAUUAUUUUUUGAUAAAAUAACCAAUAUAUAACAUAUUGCUUAAAAUAUAGUUACCAUAGGGAUAACAGCGUAAUUUAAUUAAAGAGUUCUUAUUGAAAAUUAAGAUUGCGACCUCGAUGUUGGAUUAAAGUUACCUUAAGGUGCAGAAGCUUUAAUAAGGUGAAUCUGUUCGAUUUUUAAAACUUUACGUGAUCU
rnacentral:rRNA from 1 species